GCACCUCAUAAAACAGGUGCCGGGUUUGACAGCCUGAAUAAAUUGGCGGGUAGCCGCUUGUAUUCCGUAAUGCGGUUUUUUU
rnacentral:sRNA from 1 species